rnacentral:rRNA from 1 species
GAUGAAUGCUGGCGGCGUGCCUAACACAUGCAAGUCGAGCGGCAGCGCGGGGUGCUUGCGCCCUGUCGGCGAGCGGCGAACGGCUGAGUAACGCGUAGGAAUUUGCCCCAAAGUGAGGAAUAACUGCCCGAAAGGGUAGCUAAUGCCGCAUAUGGUCUUCGGAUUAAAGGAUUUAUUCGCUUUGGGAGAAGCCUGCGUUUGAUUAGGUUGUUGGUAGGGUAAUGGCCUACCAAGCCGACGAUCCAUAGCUGGUCUGAGAGGAUGAUCAGCCAGACUGGAACUGAGACACGGACCAGACUGCUACGGGAGGCAGCAGUGAGGAGUAUUACACAAUGAGCCAAAGCCUGGUGGAGCAACGCCGCGUGAAGGAUGAAGGCCUUCGGGUUGUAAACUUCUUUUAUGCGUGACGAAUAUGACGGUAACUCAUGAAUAAGCACCGGCUAACUACGUG